UUCAGGGUCACCCUCACUGCUUCAUCAAGGCACAGACAGACUGAGGCUGACGAAGACAGAGUCAAUACAGAGCGGUGAUCUAAGGAGACCUUCAGGGACAGGGGGACCAGACAGAGAGGAGAGGAAGUGGAGUGUUUCAUCUCCAACACCCGGAGGAGUUCACCUGCAUCUUUGACAGUGCUGCUUGUGGUGUUGCCAUGGAAACCCGGACGGUUACGCAGCGGCAACGGGAGGAGGAGUCGUCCCGGAUGUCUCACGGCGUAGAGCUGUCCUCGCAGAUCAAGAAGAGGACCUUCACGUCCAGUGAUGAGGAAGCAGCCUUCUCUCUCCUCCAUCCCAUCAUCCCAGCGGAUGUGAUGUCCGUCAAGGAGACGCUCAACAUGGAAGGCUUCCCCCGGCACAGGACAUGGUGAGACGGACACGCCCCACGUGGCCAACAUCUGUUUAGUGUUUGGCGUUUUGCAUGCAUGCAUCAACUCAUAAGAGGACUGUGUUAUGGGAUGGAAAU
rnacentral:lncRNA from 1 species